rnacentral:rRNA from 1 species
UACGGAGGGUGCAAGCGUUAUCCGGAUUUACUGGGUUUAAAGGGUGUGUAGGCGGUCUUUUAAGUCAGCGGUGAAAUCUCCGGGCUCAACCCGGAAACUGCCAUUGAUACUAUUAGUCUUGAGUACGAGAGAGGAGAGUGGAAUUCCCAGUGUAGAGGUGAAAUUCGUAGAUAUUGGGAAGAAUACCGGUGGCGAAGGCGGCUCUCUGGACCGAGACUGACGCUGAGGCGCGAAAGCGUGGGGAGCAAACAGG